CCUUUGAUUUAUCCCCAUGCACGUACAAGCGACACACCAACUCCAACUUCAUUUUUCUUUGGUACCUACAACCGUAUUUAAUGUAAGGGUCAAUUUUCUUAUCCAAAUUGAAUCAUGCCGAACGGAAGGUAAAUGUCAUAAAAUAACAAUAAAAUACUCGGCCAUAAAGAAGAAAUAAAAUAAAAUCGAUACCAGAAACUAUUCUUAAUAACACUAUACCAGUUAAUAAUGCAUGAAAUGCAUCUAAACCAUGAUCCAGAUAUCACCUCUCCGCAGAGCAAAAUAAAGUGUCCCACCAUUGGACAGUGUCCCACCGUUGGACACAAUACCCCACCGUUGGGUAUUAAGGUUCGGUACCCCACCGUUGGGUAUUGUUCCGAAUCACACAAACCUAUAACAACAACUAUAUGCUAUGCUAUGCAUACUAUAGACACCUUUUAAAACCAGCACCAUUUGAUUAAAAUCAAUUGAAAGUGUAGAACUUUCUUUUAAACCCGAUAAAUUCACCAUUUAUCGAAACUGACAAAAUACUCAAAUUGACAAUCAACCACACACAAAAUCAUAAAAAUAAAUAUACAAUCAGCCACACACAUAAGUACUCCAUAUAUUAACAUAGCAUAAAAUGUUAUCAAAAUAAGUCUUCGCCAUUCCUUCUAUUUCCAUCUCUAUUGGUUAAAUACUUCAUUCUCAAUCUAUAACAUAAACCUUAAGUGCACGAGUGUAUGGGGAAAAAGCCCUUACCUUAGGCGCUUUCCUUCCAAGCAUACGUCUCUAAGCUAAUUUGACGCUUACGCACCCUAUAUCAGGUUUGCACGCAUAAACUUUUUGUUCCUUCGCCUCCUCGUGUUCUCUGAUUGUUCCAACUCGAAAAUUUGUGGUUGGGAGUAAAAAUAAAAUAUAAGAAUAUGCUCUAAAAUGGUCAAUUUUGAAAUUGGGCCGAAGAACCUUACCCCAAAUCAGAAAAUAAUCUGGUGGAGAAUAUUACUGACGUUUAUGCGGUUGAUUCGUCGUUGAUUUCACUCAAAUCGGAGUUACAAUGACAAAGAUCGGAACAAAAGGGUGAAUCUCGUCGAUGAAGAAAAUUGGAGUUUCGACAAAGACAAUGGAAUAU
rnacentral:lncRNA from 1 species